UACGAAGGGGGCUAGCGUUGCUCGGAAUCACUGGGCGUAAAGCGCACGUAGGCGGCUUUCUAAGUCAGGGGUGAAAUCCUGGAGCUCAACUCCAGAACUGCCUUUGAUACUGGGAGAGCUAGAGUCCGGAAGAGGUGAGUGGAACUGCGAGUGUAGAGGUGAAAUUCGUAGAUAUUCGCAAGAACACCAGUGGCGAAGGCGGCUCACUGGUCCGGUACUGACGCUGAGGUGCGAAAGCGUGGGGAGCAAACAGGG
rnacentral:rRNA from 1 species